AUUGAACGCUGGCGGCAGGCCUAACACAUGCAAGUCGAACGAGUGGCGGACGGGUGAGUAAUGUCUGGAACACUGCCCGAUGGCGGGGGAUAACUACUGGAAACGGUGGCUAAUACCGCAUACCAUCGGAUGUGCCCAGAUGGGCUUGGCUCGUAGGUGGGGUAACGGCUCACCUAGGCGACGAUCCCUAGCUGGUCUGAGAGGAUGAUCAGCCAAACUGGAACUGAGACACGGUCCAGACUCCUACGGGAGGCAGCAGUGGGGAAUAUUGCAAAAUUGGCGAAAGCCUGAUGCAGCCAUGCCGCGUGUAUGAAGAAGGCCUUCGUGUCGUAAAGUACUUUCAGCGGGGAGGCGUUACUCGCAGAAGAAGCACCGGCUAACUCCGUGCCAGCCGCCGCGGUAAUUC
rnacentral:rRNA from 1 species